rnacentral:lncRNA from 1 species
AACCUUUAUUCUCCAAAAUCACCAAAACUUAGAGCAAAAAAGAGAAGAAAGAGGUGCCAAUUUUCUCAAGAACACGGAGCAGGUUUUCUUCAGUUCCAGCCCCUAAAUCGAAGGAUUUCUCCAUAUGAAUUUCGUCACCAGGUAUGUGGGAUUUCACUAGUGGAUUCGUUUCAUCCACUAGGUCCAAAGAACUCUGUCAGAUUCUUGAUUCUCUAUAUCUUGUUUAGACCUAGGGUUUCUAAAACCUUGGAUAAUUGCUGUGAUUUAGCUAUUGUAGUAUUCGUAAUUGAAUUAUCAUGUUUUCUUGGAAAGUUUGCUUAGUUCCUUGUAUGAAACUCAGAACCCUAGUUGUGUAGAUACUUUUAGUUCAUGAAUUACACUUUCUAGGUUAGUUGAACAGAUAAACAUGCUCCAGUUUUCGAAUGUUACAUUGUCAGUUCCUAAAUGUUGUCUUCUCAGAUUUUUAUGUCAGAACCUUGAGCUAUCCAGUAUUUCAGUUAUGUUGGGUCAUAUACAUUUCCAGUUGGGAGUAGGCUUAGCACCGAGUUGGACUAGGGUUUAGCAUACCCUCAUAUUCCCAAAACUACGUGCCCCCGUAGGAGUAUAAGUCCCCUGUGUUGGGCAUCAGAUUUAGUGAUCAUGCCAGUCAUGCCUUUAUAGGCAAGGUAUAUUGUAUCCUCUAGAUGGGGCAUAUACAUCGGACUCCACGUUUAGCUCACGUGAUUUUAUGUCGGUUAAUAGUAGCUCCCACAGUCAGACUCUAAUGCAUUUGACCAGGUUUUCAUUUUAUAUUACAGUAAUCAGUCUCAACAUGUUAUGUUCAUGGUCAUUGUAUUUAGCUCAGUUUUCAGUUAUAUUCAACAUUUAUCUUCUAUUUAGAUUAUAUUAUUGCUCAACUGUUAUCUAUAUCCUGCAUGCUUAGUACAUUCCAAGUACUGAUGCAUACUCUGCGCUACACCCUUUAUGAUGUAGGUUCAGGUACUAAGCAUCCAAGCAUCCAGAUCACGGUUAGAUCGAUUAUCGGUUUGUAUUCAGCAG